rnacentral:rRNA from 1 species
CCGGCGACCGGCGCACGGGUGAGUAACACGUAUGGAACCUGCCCGCAGCAGGGGGAUAAGCGGAAGAAAUUCCGUCUAAUACCGCGUAACACCGCAGAGGGGCAUCCCUCGGCGGUUAAAGAUUCAUCGGCUGCGGAUGGCCAUGCGGCGCAUUAGCUAGUCGGCGGGGUAACGGCCCACCGAGGCGACGAUGCGUAGGGGUUCUGAGAGGAAGGUCCCCCACACUGGUACUGAGACACGGACCAGACUCCUACGGGAGGCAGCAG